CGUUGCAGGCUAAGUUGAAACCAGGAUAGCCACAUCUUGCAGGUUGCAGCUCAGGAAUUCGGAACGGGAAUCGGAUGCCGAAGUUGUCCUUCAUACACUUGGAAAUAGAGCAACUUUGAGCUGUGGAUAAAGUGGGGAGGAUGAAGAGGAAGAAGAGGAGAAAGAUAUGUGAGAAAUCCAUAAGCUUUGCCA